CUCGACAUCACACUACAACAGAUCCAUAUGGUUCAAGGUGCAGUGAGCCACCUGAAAAGCGGGAGCGACAGAGGGAACCUUAUGGCCUUACUGGUUGGGACCAGAAGAGUGGAUUGCUCCGGAUCACUGGGACUUUCUUUAACUUUGGAGGUCGGAGGCUUAAUUUGGGCAUAGGCUGAAUUAUUGGCACUAAGCACGUUAUGUUAGCACAAGCUAGGUGCCACAGAUAAUUUGGGUUUCUAGUACAUCCUUUCAAGCUUCACCUGUCAGAACACCGACAUACGAUUCUUACUAUAACCACCUUGGUGUUCCUUUACCCUUUCCCUUAGCCCUUCAGCAUAAUCUUAU